UUAGUCAAGCUGCCUAAAAUCCAUGAGGCUAUUUUUCUGCGUUUACACUUGCCAAAUCUAAUCUAUUAAAACUGGAGUACAAAUUGAAAUUAACCCUCAGUUUUCCUUAAAUAUUACAAGUUUAUGCCACUAGCUUAAACCAUGUUUAACACUUAAAUCAAACCAUUUAAAUCUAAUUUAAACAACUAACCAAACCGUAUGUAUUAGUUAACCCAAACAAACGUCAAUUCAAUAAUAUUACUAAAACUAAAAUUAAUUAAAAAUAUUAACCGUUCAUCACCUCUUCCUUUAAGAAAUCCAAACUCAUAUAAAUUUUGGAAUCACACCAAAAAUAGAAUCUAAUCUAUUAAAACUGGAGUACAAAUUGAAAUUAACCCUCAGUUUUCCUUAAAUAUUACAAGUUUAUGCCACUAGCUUAAACCAUGUUUAACACUUAAAUCAAACCAUUUAAAUCUAAUUUAAACAACUAACCAAACCGUACGUAGUAGUUAACCCAAACAAACGUCAAUUCAAUAAUAUUACUAAAACCAAAAUUAAUUAAAAAUAUUAACCAUUCAUCACCUCUUCCUUUAAGAAAUCC
rnacentral:lncRNA from 1 species